UACGGAGGAUCCAAGCGUUAUCCGGAUUCAUUGGGUUUAAAGGGUGCGUAGGCGGAAUGAUAAGUCAGUGGUGAAAUCCUGCAGCUUAACUGCAGAACUGCCAUUGAUACUGUCAAUCUUGAGUACAUUUGAUGUGGGCGGAAUGUGUCAUGUAGCGGUGAAAUGCUUAGAUAUGACACAGAACACCAAUUGCGUAGGCAGCUCGCUAAACUCUUACUGACGCUGAGGCACGAAAGCAUGGGGAUCAAACAGG
rnacentral:rRNA from 1 species